GACGAACGCUGGCGGCGUGCUUAACACAUGCAAGUCGAACGGAAAGGCCCUGCUUUUGUGGGGUGCUCGAGUGGCGAACGGGUGAGUAACACGUGAGUAACCUGCCCUUGACUUUGGGAUAACUUCAGGAAACUGGGGCUAAUACCGGAUAGGAGCUCCUGCUGCAUGGUGGGGGUUGGAAAGUUUCGGCGGUUGGGGAUGGACUCGCGGCUUAUCAGCUUGUUGGUGGGGUAGUGGCUUACCAAGGCUUUGACGGGUAGCCGGCCUGAGAGGGUGGCCGGCCACAUUGGGACUGAGAUACGGCCCAGACUCCUACGGGAGGCAGCAGUGGGGAAUAUUGCACAAUGGGCGGAAGCCUGAUGCAGCAACGCCGCGUGCGGGAUGACGGCCUUCGGGUUGUAAACCGCUUUCGCCUGUGGCGAAGCGUGAGUGACGGUAAUGGGUAAAGAAGCACCGGCUAACUACGUG
rnacentral:rRNA from 1 species